rnacentral:rRNA from 1 species
CCUACGGGCGGCUGCAGUGAGGAAUAUUGGUCAAUGGGCGCGAGCCUGAACCAGCCAAGUCGCGUGAGGGAAGACGGUCCUCUGGAUUGUAAACCUCUUUUGUCGGGGAGCAAAAGACGCCACGCGUGGCGUUCCGAGCGUACCCCAAUGUAAAGCAUCGGCUAACUCCGUGCCAGCGGCCGCGGUAAUACGGAGGAUGCGAGCGUUAUCCGGAUUUAUUGGGUUUAAAGGGUGCGCAGGCGGAAGAUCAAGUCAGCGGUAAAAUUGAGGGGCUCAACCUCUUCGAGCCGUUGAAACUGGUUAUCUUGAGUGAGCGAGAGGUAUGCGGAAUGCGUGGUGUAGCGGUGAAAUGCAUAGAUAUCACGCAGAACUCCGAUUGCGAAGGCAGCAUACCGGCGCGCAACUGACGCUCAUGCACGAAAGUGUGGGUAUCGAACAGGAUUAGAUACCCUAGUAGUC